CAGGCCAGCAUGCCCACCUGCAACAAGUGGUCUCGGGUGGAUAGCCAUGGGAACUGGACAGGAAUCUGGGUGUGCCUGGGCGUGGCGCGGGGUGGGGAAGAGGGAGAGUCAGAAAGAAUGCCUGACCUGUGGACACGGACAUGGCUGGAGACCUUCACACCAACCCUGAGGGAGGACAGACAGAAAGGCAAAGGAGGAGCCCAACAUCCUGGGUUGGAGUUUGGAUGCAGCCCCAGCUGUGUGACCCCGGGGCCAAUCCCAAUCCAUCUCUGAACCCCACCCGCUGCAGAGGGCUUCCC
rnacentral:lncRNA from 1 species